rnacentral:rRNA from 1 species
ACGGGUGAGUAACACGUGGAUAACCUACCUAUAAGACUGGGAUAACUUCGGGAAACCGGAGCUAAUACCGGAUAAUAUUUUGAACCGCAUGGUUCAAAAGUGAAAGACGGUCUUGCUGUCACUUAUAGAUGGAUCCGCGCUGCAUUAGCUAGUUGGUAAGGUAACGGCUUACCAAGGCAACGAUGCAUAGCCGACCUGAGAGGGUGAUCGGCCACACUGGAACUGAGACACGGUCCAGACUCCUACGGGAGGCAGCAGUAGGGAAUCUUCCGCAAUGGGCGAAAGCCUGACGGAGCAACGCCGCGUGAGUGAUGAAGGUCUUCGGAUCGUAAAACUCUGUUAUUAGGGAAGAACAUAUGUGUAAGUAACUGUGCACAUCUUGACGGUACCUAAUCAGAAAGCCACGGCUAACUACGUGCCAGCAGCCGCGGUAAUACGUAGGUGGCAAGCGUUAUCCGGAAUUAUUGGGCGUAAAGCGCGCGUAGGCGGUUUUUUAAGUCUGAUGUGAAAGCCCACGGCUCAACCGUGGAGGGUCAUUGGAAACUGGAAAACUUGAGUGCAGAAGAGGAAAGUGGAAUUCCAUGUGUAGCGGUGAAAUGCGCAGAGAUAUGGAGGAACACCAGUGGCGAAGGCGACUUUCUGGUCUGUAACUGACGCUGAUGUGCGAAAGCGUGGGGAUCAAACAGGAUUAGAUACCCUGGUAGUCCACGCCGUAAACGAUGAGUGCUAAGUGUUAGGGGGUUUCCGCCCCUUAGUGCUGCAGCUAACGCAUUAAGCACUCCGCCUGGGGAGUACGACCGCAAGGUUGAAACUCAAAGGAAUUGACGGGGACCCGCACAAGCGGUGGAGCAUGUGGUUUAAUUCGAAGCAACGCGAAGAACCUUACCAAAUCUUGACAUCCUUUGACAACUCUAGAGAUAGAGCCUUCCCCUUCGGGGGACAAAGUGACAGGUGGUGCAUGGUUGUCGUCAGCUCGUGUCGUGAGAUGUUGGGUUAAGUCCCGCAACGAGCGCAACCCUUAAGCUUAGUUGCCAUCAUUAAGUUGGGCACUCUAAGUUGACUGCCGGUGACAAACCGGAGGAAGGUGGGGAUGACGUCAAAUCAUCAUGCCCCUUAUGAUUUGGGCUACACACGUGCUACAAUGGACAAUACAAAGGGCAGCGAAACCGCGAGGUCAAGCAAAUCCCAUAAAGUUGUUCUCAGUUCGGAUUGUAGUCUGCAACUCGACUACAUGAAGCUGGAAUCGCUAGUAAUCGUAGAUCAGCAUGCUACGGUGAAUACGUUCCCGGGUCUUGUACACACCGCCCGUCACACCACGAGAGUUUGUAACACCCGAAGCCGGUGGAGUAACCUUUUAGGAGCUAGCCGUCGAAGGUGGGACAAAUGAUUG